rnacentral:rRNA from 1 species
CGACUCCAUGAAGCUGGAUUCGCUAGUAAUCGCGCAUCAGCCAUGGCGCGGUGAAUACGUUCCCGGGCCUUGUACACACCGCCCGUCAAGCCAUGAAAGCCGGGGGUGCCUGAAGUUCGUGACCGCAAGGAGCGACCUAGGGCAAAACUGGUAAUUGGGGCUAAGUGGUAACAAGGUAGCCGUACCGGAAGGUGUGGCUGGAACACCUCCUUU